UAGAAAUGACUUUCUUAAAAAAAAAUGAUACGGUGAUUGUAUUUUAAUUUGACUUUUUAAAUUUCUCUGGUGUGAUGUGACCACAGAAAUCUCCACACAUAUCUUACAACAUAUACUUUUUGCUUAUCUGAUCCAUGUUUUUUAUUUACCUGAUCCAUGUUUUUAUCUUAUACAACAAAAACAAUACUUAACAUAUUGUAUGAAUCAAUCAAUCAUUCAACUAACACUGCAUUGAGAUCAGAACUGUUUACAUAUCUGGAGAUAAAAUUUCUUGUAUCAAAGCUGUUCAUGUUAACCUUUUGAUAAACUAUUUAUUUCAGUUAUCCCCCUUGUAUAUACACAAUUUGAAUGUUCAACUUUUUGACAAAUUUUUAAUUUGAACAUUCCUUGUAAAGCUUGCCAUAAUUUAUUACUUUUAUAGUUAGCUGUGUUUAAUGAGUCAGUUAAUUUGUAGAAAUAUUUUAAUUGUUGACUUUUAAUGAAAGUGGUCAAUACAUUGCUUCUUGUCUGUAGCCUAGUCUCUGGUGUUUACAAAAACCUGUCCACCUCUGGUAAAAGUUUUUAAAAAUUCAUUUUUAAAAAUAACAUUUCUUUUAAGUAUGCAAAUAAUUUAUUUGCAGAAUUUAAACUAUAUUAACCUAGAUUUAAUAUUGGCCUACUGGCAAAAGAAAUAUAAUGAAAAAAUUUAAAGACUGUAUGUUUCCAUCAGGAGUUAACGAUUGCAUGUCUUUUCCUAAUGUAGAUGUGGGCAGAGUUAAAUCCCUGCAUCCCACAAAUAUUUUGAUCCCACUAAGUGUUGCCAAUGUUUGUAUUCUUGCAUCAUGUCCCACAUUCCUCAACAUCAAGACAUUAUUCUGUGGGUAGGUUAACUUAAGCGGGUUUAAUUCAAUUUGUUGUUAGUUGUAAACUCAAUGGUUUAAAGUAUUAAAGUAAUUUAGUUUUGUAUGAUGUAAAUUUAACAACUUUUCACUAGACUGAUAAUCACCUAAAGAAGCAUAAUAUUUAUAUCUGUAAACUUAAUCUUAUUGUUUGUUUAUAUAAUUUAUUUAAUUCUAUGUAAAAUUGUGAAUUUUUUUACAAAAACUAUGUAAAGAUGAAUGUACACAAGCAGCUUUUUAAAAACAUGAUUUAACAGUUGCCUACCUAGUAUGUCACAAUUUGUUACUCAAUAGAAAAGAUCACUUGCUUUUAAUUGUGAUUAUCUCCCUUUGUUUACCGCAGUUAUCUUCCUUACACCGUCUGAAAUAUGUUUGAAAACCUUUUCUUUUGCUGGUUUUUCAUUAACAUGUCCUUUUUUUAACUGCUAUUAAAAUUUGUUAAAUGAUGUCAUUGCCACACUUACCUGUAUUAAACAAAAAACUGUUAUCAUUACUUUUGUUUUAAAACAUGAUACAGACAUAACAUCCCCUAUUCCACUUUGAGAGAUAAAAUAUUUUCUAACUCCAUGCAUACCUACAUUUUAGUUUCAGUUAAAAAACAAAACUUUGACAGUGUAUUUUUACAUAUUAAUUUUUUUCGACCAUUGACCAAUUUGUAAAGGUUCAUAUUUUACCAUUAUGGCCAGUUUAUUUGUAAAGGUUCAUAUUUCACCAUUUUGGGCAGUUUAUUUGUAAAGGUUCAUAUUUCACCAUUUUGGCCAGUUUAUUUGUAAAGGUUCAUAUUUCACCAUUUUGGCUAGUUUAUUUGUAAAAGUUCAUAUUUCACCAUUAUGGCCAGUUUAUUUGUAAAUUUGUAUUUGUCCAUCUGGCCAGCGAUUUGAUGUGAUAUGUAGUCAAUGGUUAGUUAGUCCUCAACAUGCAUGCCUUUAGCUGUUAGCUGACCACAACACAAACAUGCUCUUUGGUUUUUAAUUUGUCUUUGUGCUAAUGAAUAAAUUAAUUAAUAUGCAAAAUA